rnacentral:rRNA from 1 species
UACGUAGGGUGCAAGCGUUGUCCGGAAUUAUUGGGCGUAAAGAGCUCGUAGGCGGUUUGUUGCGUCGGCUGUGAAAUCCCGAGGCUCAACCUCGGGUCUGCAGUCGAUACGAGCAAACUAGAGUGUUGCAGGGGAGACUGGAAUUCCUGGUGUAGCGGUGAAAUGCGCAGAUAUCAGGAGGAACACCCGGUGGCGAAGGCGGCAUCCUGGACCGGUAUUGACGCUGAGGCGCGAAAGCUAGGGGAGCAAACGGG